rnacentral:rRNA from 1 species
UACGGAGGGUGCGAGCGUUAAUCGGAAUUACUGGGCGUAAAGCGCGCGCAGGCGGUUUGUUAAGUAGGAUGUGAAAUCCCCGGGCUCAACCCGGGAAUUGCAUUCGAAACUGGCAAACUAGAGUCUUGUAGAGGGGGGUAGAAUUCCACGUGUAGCGGUGAAAUGCGUAGAGAUGUGGAGGAAUACCGGUGGCGAAGGCGGCCCCCUGGACAAAGACUGACGCUCAGGUGCGAAAGCGUGGGGAGCAAACAGG